GCCUUGUUAUAUCAGUCGGUAGAUAGUUUGACUCUUACUACCCCACCCGGUUUCUGUUAAGAUAUCAAAAUGUCAUGGGUUCGAGCCCCAUACGAGGCU
rnacentral:tRNA from 1 species